GGAGAGCUGGGCUUCGAGGCGUCAGUGUGAAGGGAAGGCUAAGGACGCAUCGGUGCUGGAGAGUUGAGAAUAUGCCUUCCCCUCCACCCCCAACCCAGUCACCUUAUUUGAAAAAAAAUUAAAAAACACCUUUUAUUUAAAAACCUAACCCUGGAAGUUUGCUCGGGAAGGCAUUCUCUUCCUCUUCCUCCAGCUGCCUGAAAAUCAUAUGCGUGGUUUUUCCUGUUUCCUGCUCUGUAGCUGACAUCAGGGGAGCAACGUGAACACAGGAAAAUGGAAAUCAACAUUUGAAACUUUUAAAUGGAAGCUUUAUUGGGGUUCCACAUAUGGAAAACUGCAAAUAGCAGAAGUAUGUGACUCAAUAAAUUAUUCUGGAGUGACCACAUCCUCUAACUGCCUCCCAGGACAAGACGGAGAAUGUGAACAAUGCUCCUGAAGGCCCCUUUCCCUCAAAGAAUCACUGCAAUUGAAGGAAAAAUGCUCCAUGUCCCCUCUGCCAGUUGGUGUUUAUCAAAGGACAACGGAGGAAGAGAGACAAAGUGCCUGGAUGUGUGUGUUAAUCAAGAGUUGUCAGGACCCUGCCUCUAAAAGAAAGCGCUAAAAUGAUGCUUUUGACAAGACUUUUCUCAAAGUGGAUGCAGUCUAAGGGUUGGAAAACAAGGCCCAAUCAGGCUAGGUCUGACUUGUCGCCUGCUUUUGUAAAUAAAGUUUUAUUGGCUCAC
rnacentral:lncRNA from 1 species